UAGACCCAUCAGGCAGACAAUUUAGUUAACUAUUGUGGGAAAUUAACCCAAGCUGUUCAGCCUGUUUCUCAACAAGUUUCUGCUGCUUGGAAAUGAUCCAAUGGAAGGAGGACACACCUUAAUUCCUAUUUCAAGCAUUCAAGCUGGGAGAUGCCAGAAAUGGCCGGGAGUGAAAAUGAAAUCAAGUUAGGAACGAGGAAGAAUUGGAAGGCAUUGACAAUCAUCUUGAAAGUUGCAAUGAGCAUGAAGAUUUGGAGGAUGUAAUCAUCCACAGCUUUGUACCAUAUCCAAUGCGGACGUUGAUGACCAUGGUUUUCCAUAUAGAUCUAUUCUUCGUUCUUUGGAUGACUUCCAUUUCCUCGAUGUGUAACCACCUGACUAGGUUUUUGAUGUACAUAAGCCGAGGUCUUCCUCUAGGA